AGCGAACGCUGGCGGCAGGCCUAACACAUGCAAGUCGAACGAACCUUUCGGGGUUAGUGGCGGACGGGUGAGUAACACGUGGGAACGUGCCUUUAGGUUCGGAAUAACUCAGGGAAACUUGUGCUAAUACCGAAUGUGCCCUUCGGGGGAAAGAUUAAUCGCCUUUAGAGCGGCCCGCGUCUGAUUAGCUAGUUGGUUGAGGUAAUGGCUCACCAAGGCGACGAUCAGUAGCUGGUCUGAGAGGAUGAUCAGCCACAUUGGGACUGAGACACGGCCCAAACUCCUACGGGAGGCAGCAGUGGGGGAUCUUGCGAAAUGGGCGAAAGGCUGACGCAGCCAUGCCGCGUGAAUGAUGAAGGUCUUAGGAUAGUAAAAUUCUUUCACCGGGGACGAUAAUGACGGUACCCGGAGAAGAAGCCCCGGCUAACUUCGUG
rnacentral:rRNA from 1 species